rnacentral:lncRNA from 1 species
AAGUUCUCUUUACCUCACUAGGUUUCAUUUUUUUAAAAGAAAGGAUCAAUUAUCUGCUGUUUGAAAGAGUAGCAGUAAAGCUGUUAUAGCCAAUGCUGGUUAUAAGGAUACAAGAGAUGGGCAUUACAGAGAGAAAGAAGAUAAUUAUUAAACCUAUACUUGACAAAUGGGCAAGGUCUUGGGCUAACAACUUUCUAGCAGGGGGACAUGCAUAAGAGAAAUAUACAUUGGCUUGAACAUAGAUUCUCUUAAAGGCAGAUGGAAAGGAUUGUUUCUUUUAUACUUUCCCUCAUGAACAACUAAUUCUGCUAAUCCUGCAUGCUUUCACCUCCUGUGCUCCUCACGUUUUACCAUGGAUCCAGUGGGAGUCAUUCACCACUCAACAGCAACAGCAAGCAAGAGGACUUGAAAGAUUUUAUAAUGGAAGGAAACAGUUCUUUCAGUCUUAUCUUUGGCCAGUGAACAACAACGACCUAUAUUUAUGGCCUAUUUAUGGCCUAUUAACAUCUGCAAACAAGAAAAUUCAUGAUAUCAAGAAUUUUUAUGAGCUGCAUAUUUAUUCAACUUCUUGUGUCAUUUUGUAACUUUUGGAAGUUCAUUUUCAGUUUCUCAUAAUUCAUGAAAAAUCAAAUUUAGCUGGGAAACAAACAUUACAAACCAGCACUAAAGGAAAAAGUAAGUCUAACAAGCAGUUUGGACAUUUACUUUUAAUUGUUUUUGUGUGUGUGCAAUUGCUACGUACUUUCCAAUGGAGAAGAGAAGUGGAUGUUGAACAUACAUGCUUUCAAAUAAAGAAGGUCAGUCAUCUCUUAAGCUUUCCUAA